AGAGUUUGAUCCUGGCUCAGGACGAACGCUGGCGGCGUGCCUAACACAUGCAAGUCGAGCGAGGAGAUUCCCUUCGGGGAUGAACCUAGCGGCGGACGGGUGAGUAACACGUGGGCAACCUGCCUUAUAGAGGGGAAUAGCCUUCCGAAAGGAAGAUUAAUACCGCAUAACAUUACAUUUUCGCAUGAAGAAGUAAUUAAAGGAGUAAUCCGCUAUAAGAUGGGCCCGCGGCGCAUUAGCUAGUUGGUGAGGUAACGGCUCACCAAGGCGACGAUGCGUAGCCGACCUGAGAGGGUGAUCGGCCACAUUGGGACUGAGAUACGGCCCAGACUCCUACGGGAGGCAGCAGUGGGGAAUAUUGGGCAAUGGACGCAAGUCUGACCCAGCAACGCCGCGUGAAGGAAGAAGGCUUUCGGGUUGUAAACUUCUUUGACAGGGGAAGAGUAGAAGACGGUACCCUGAAAACAAGCCACGGCUAACUACGUGCCAGCAGCCGCGGUAAUACGUAGGUGGCAAGCGUUGUCCGGAUUUACUGGGUGUAAAGGGCGUGCAGCCGGGCUGACAAGUCAGAUGUGAAAACUAGAGGCUCAACCUCUAGAUUGCAUUUGAAACUGUUGGUCUUGAGUAUCGGAGAGGUAACCGGAAUUCCUAGUGUAGCGGUGAAAUGCGUAGAUAUAAGGAAGAACACCAGUGGCGAAGGCGGAUUACUGGACGACAACUGACGGUGAGGCGCGAAAGCGUGGGAGCAAACAGGAUUAGAUACCCUGGUAGUCCACGCUGUAAACGAUCAAUACUAGGUGUGCGGGGACUGACCCC
rnacentral:rRNA from 1 species